UGAUUUCAAUUAAAUUGGGCACACAGGGAUAAAGAAAGUGUCGACAAGAGAGGAGAAUAUAUAUCUGUUAAAACGAGAUGCAUGUUUGAAUGUGUGCUGCGGGUUGAUAAAAGAUUAAAAGCACAGAACAUUAGUUUGUCGGCACUUUGUUGAACAACCAGUUCAGCCAUGCCGUUCAGCUGAGAACCUCUCUGAAACCUGCUGUUGUCUGUCUUGCUGUAACACACGAUAAAGGUUCGGGUAUGGAAGGAGGAGACGGGGAAGCAGUGGCACACUUCAGGACUCCUCCAGACUGAAUCAAUGCUGACCUGAACUGAAUCUGAAACUGGGCAUGUGUUCCCUGCACACAUGACCUCUAUCAAAAAGCCCACACUGUCAAUGUCACAGGCUAAGAUGGUUGACAUUUUAAAGUCUUACAUGGACUUGACACCCACACUCAUGCGUGCACAUACGCUGAUUUAUGCCAGCACUCAACAUCUUAAUAUAUCAGAAAUGUGUUUUGAUCAUUUGUGGUGUUUUUGUCCAAAGUAAGAGGUCAUUGUGUUUUUUGUUUAUUUGUUUUCUUGUAUGUAUUUUUCUGUUUAACAUGUCUGUUUAAUAUAUCAUACAUUUUCAAAUAAUGCCACAACACAUUGUCAUUUCAGUCAAAUUACCUUUAUUUCUUGAACAUGCUACCAAACCAUCCAUUUUGCUGUGUUACAUUUCCAGUUCACAUGCUGUACAACCAAACAUUGCAUCUGCUCUCAAUCAGUUCUUAAAGUAACAGCCAUACCCCUCAAAUUGGGCCGUAGCAUUUGUUAAUGUUGUCAGAGGGGGGGAAGUUAAAGGUGCACUCAGCGAUUCCUGAGAAACACUGUUGAUAUUCAAACUCAACUGCCAAAUCAAACACACCCCUCCCUUCAGUGCUCCUUUGGAAGCUCCAAGCCCCAAAAUCAUGCAUGCAAAUUCAUUCCUUUUACCUCUCGGAUGUCUCUCCACCGCUGAAAAGCCUCGCCGAUGUUGACAUGGCUCCUAGCCCUCGACUCAUCAUAAUCCUUCUUUUUUAGUUUAUAUUCAUCUGACCUUUUUCUCUUGGUCUGUUUCUCAGCCAUUUGUCCUCCUUGGAGUUUAGAAAGUGCACAUCAGCAGAUUUGCCAUCGCUCUUCUAAUGAAUUUCCCUCUCACUCUGCCCCCAUCCUGUGCACGCGCAAGAACCACCCCCUGUUGCUGAUUGGCUGGAGUAGCAUUGUGUGGAUCGGUCCGAUCCACUUUGUUUUUGUCCUAUUUACAGAGCCAGAGCUGUGCACAAAUACUAAAUUUGUUUUCAGCCCACCCACAGAAUGGAGAGUUAGCAGACUGUGAGGAGAUAUUUGCAGAAUUUUACAAAUAGUGUAUUGGAUUAGAAUUACUGAGUGCACCUUUAAUAACAGUGGGUUUUUGUCUUUAGUUUUGCUGUUAAGUACUCUUUCUGUAACAAAUCUUGUAUUGUCUGUGUGCGUACUGGUUGGUUUGUCAUUCUUUGUACUUUAUUGUGGAUAUUUGAUUGUUUUGUUUGUUUUCAUUCCUCCUUGUGGAAAUUGGUUCAUUCCGGGGGAGGAGCUAGACCCUUUAAAACAGGGAGCUUUAGAGCUCGUGUGAGUUCCAUCAAAUUGAAACUUGAAUGUUAACAGUGUUGUGAAUUUGGGCCAUUUGCUGGUUUAGCCAUUGUUGCAUUUUUUUGUUUUUGUACAGUUUUUUUUUGUUUGUUUGUUUCUAUUUUAUAUUUUCACUGUAAAUAAUUUUUGGCACCUUAAUAAACACAAUUUUGGGAUCCACUU